rnacentral:rRNA from 1 species
GAACCGGAAAUAGCCCAAGAUGAAAAUCGCUGCCUUUCAGGCACGCGAGUUGUAAUCUAAAGAGUCGUCGCUGACAGGUUCCUCUGAAGCCCAAGUGUCUUGGAAUAGACCGCCAGGGAGGGUGAAAGCCCCGUACGGCGUCGGAGGAGCGCUAGGUGGCAGCUCAAAGAGUCGAGUUGUUCGGGACUGCAGCUCUAAGUGGGAGGUAGACUUCUCCUAAGGCUAAAUAACUAUGAGAGACCGAUAGCGAACAAGUAAUGUGAAUGAAAGAUGAAAAAUUAAUUCCUUCCGUAAGAACUUUGAAUAAAAAGAGAAUUAAAGAGACCUGAAACCGUUGAGGAGGAAGCGAUAGGAAGUUUUCCAUUUGGCUGGCAGCUGGCAAAGCGGUUUUACUGCGAGUUUGCUGCCCGUCAAAGCGGUCGUUCGACUUUGCUCGCCUCAUAAUCCCCGCUGGGCCCGAGCUUCGGCAUCACUCAGUGGGAGCCUGUGGCGGGCGAGGCCGAGGGACCUUCGAUGUUUUCCUACCGACCCGUCUUGAAACACGGACCAAGGAGUCUAACAUAUACGCGAUUAUGUUGGUGUUUUUGAAACCAAACAUGAGCAAUGAAAGUGAGCGGUGCCAAUCGCAAGAUGCAGCAUCGGCCAGUUGUGAUCCUCUGGAGAAGCGUACUGGCUAUGAGCGUAUCUGUUAGGACCCGAAAGAUGGUGAACUACGCUUGAGUAGGGUGAAGCCAGGGGAAACUCUUGUGGAAGCCCGAAGCGGUACUGACGUGCAAAUCGUUCGUCAAACUUGAGUGUAGGGGCGAAAGACUAAUCGAACCAUCUAGUAGCUGGUUCCCUCCGAAGUUUCUCUCAGGAUAGCAAGGACAGUUAAAGCAGUUUUAUUAGGUAAAGAAUAAAUGAUUAGAAGAUCCGGGAGUUUUAUUAGUGUUCUCGACUUAGUUCUCAAACUCUAAAUAUUUGUAAUAACUCGGUAUUCCUUAAUUGAAGAUCGAGGUAGAAUGCUUGUCCUUAGUGGGCCAUUUUUGGUAAGCAGAACUGGCGAUGAGGGAUGAACCUAACUCCGAGUUAAGGUGCCCAACUGCACGCGCAUCAGAUACCUUAAAGGGUGUGUUGAUUCAUUAGACAGCAGGACGGUGGCCAUGGAAGUUGGAACCCGCUAAGGAGUGUGUAACAACUCACCUGCCGAAUGAAUUAGCCCCGAAAAUUUUGAUGGCUCUCCAGCGUGCGACCGAUACUCGGACAUUACAGUGAAGAUUUGACUGUAAUGAGUAGGAGAGGGCGUAGGCGUCUUGUUGAAGCUUUGAGCGUGAGCCUGAGUCGAAAGGCGUCUAGUGCAGAUCUUGGUGGUAGUAGCAAUUAUUCAAAUGAGAACUUUGAAGGCCGAAGUGGAGAAGGUUUCCAUGAGAACAGCAAUUGGUCAUGGGUGACUCGGUCCUAAGAUAUUGGUUAACACCCUUGCAAAUGGGCUUCGGCCCGCAAUCGAAGAAGGGAAAAUGAGGUUAAUAUUCCUCAAGCUGGCUAUGGAUGUCACGGUAACGUUUGUGAGCUCGGUGACACCGGCGCGUGCCUCUGGAAGAGUUAUCUUUUCUUUGUUAACAGCCAAGCGACCCUGAAAACGGAUUACCCGGAGAUGAGGGUUGCAAAGCUGGAAUAGUGUAUGUUUUCUUUCUAGACGCAAAUAGAAGCGCUCGCGACGGUCCUUGAAAAUCCGAGUGAGGUAAUUUAUUCCAUACCAGGCCGUACCAACAACCGCAUCAGGUCUCCCAAGGUU